UGAGUAACCUGCCCUUAACUCUGGGAUAAGCCUGGGAAACUGGGUCUAAUACCGGAUAUGACUCCUCAUCGCAUGGUGGGGGGUGGAAAGCUUUAUUGUGGUUUUGGAUGGACUCGCGGCCUAUCAGCUUGUUGGUGAGGUAAUGGCUCACCAAGGCGACGACGGGUAGCCGGCCUGAGAGGGUGACCGGCCACACUGGGACUGAGACACGGCCCAGACUCCUACGGGAGGCAG
rnacentral:rRNA from 1 species